UGAAAGGUAGACUUCAAUAUGACAGACAAA
rnacentral:piRNA from 1 species